rnacentral:rRNA from 1 species
UACAGAGGGUGCAAGCGUUAAUCGGAAUUACUGGGCGUAAAGGGUGCGUAGGUGGUUGAAUAAGUUAGGUGUGAAAGUCCUGGGCUUAACCUGGGGAUUGCGCCUAAUACUGUUUAGCUAGAGUACUGUAGAGGAAGGUGGAAUUUCCAGUGUAGCGGUGAAAUGCGUAGAUAUCGGAAGGAACACCUGUGGCGAAAGCGGCUCACUGGACCAUUACUGACGCUGAGGCACGAAAGCUAGGGGAGCAAACAGG